rnacentral:rRNA from 1 species
GAUGAACGCUAGCGGCAGGCUUAAUACAUGCAAGUCGAGGGGCAGCAGGACUGUAGCAAUACAGUUGCUGGCGACCGGCAAACGGGUGCGUAACACGUACGCAACCUACCCAAAACUGGGGGAUAGCCCGGGGAAACCCGGAUUAAUACCUCGUAACCUUUUUAAGUGGCAUCACUUGAUAAGUAUAGCUCCGGCGGUUUUGGAUGGGCGUGCGCCUGAUUAGGUAGUUGGUGCGGGUAACGGCCCACCAAGCCUGCGAUCAGUAACUGGUGUGAGAGCACGACCAGUCACACGGGCACUGAGACACGGGCCCGACUCCUACGGGAGGCAGCAGUAAGGAAUAUUGGUCAAUGGACGCAAGUCUGAACCAGCCAUGCCGCGUGAAGGAUGAAGGUCCUCUGGAUUGUAAACUUCUUUUAUGGGGGACGAAACCCGGAUAUUCUUAUCCGAUUGACGGUACCUCAGGAAUAAGCACCGGCUAACUCCGUG